GUCUGUUUAGCGCAAUGGAUAGUGCGUUAGACUUCUAAUUUAAAGGUCGUGGUUUCGAAUCCCACCUGAAAUGGACU
rnacentral:tRNA from 1 species